CAAAACUCCUAAAAGGUCAAGUCAAAGGAAAAUAAAGAAGAAACAAUAAGAUUUAGAAACAUGGGCGCUUGCUUUUGACCUUGACAAGAGCGGUCUUAGUGGAUUGAUGCAGAGAGAAGUUUUACUGGAGCAGAAGGAGGAGAACAUGUGAAAUCAGAUGGUGACUAAACAAGUCUUCACGAUGUUUUGCUGUGAAGGGGAAUAAUAAAUGGGAUAAACAGAAGAGAAUAAAAAAAUGAUCUAAUGCAGGUGAAAGGAAAAUAAAUGCAGAAGGAGACUGGUCUAAACAUGUUCACUAAUCCUCACAGCCCACCACCUCAGUUGACUGGCUGAAUGGGAGGAGGUAUGCUUAUUCAUUUGAAGCAUUGGGACAUGGACACACCUGAGACUCUACAGCAGCGGUUCUCAACCUGUGGGUCGCGACCCCUUUGGGGGUCGAAUGACCCUUUCACAGGGGUCGCCUAAGACCAUCGGAAAACAUAUAUAUAAUUACAUAUUGUUUUUGUGAUGAAUCACUAUGCUUUAAUUAUGUUCAAUUUGUAACAAUAAAAACACAUCCUGCAUAUCAGAUAUUUGCAUUAUGAUUCAUAACAGUAGCAAAAUUACAGUUAUGAAGUAGCAACGAAAAUAAUUUUAUGGUUGGGGGUCACCACAACAUGAGGAACUGUAUUAAAGGGUCGCGGCAUCAGGAAGGUUGAGAACCACUGCUAUACAGAGUGACUCUCUGUGCAUGAUAGAGGGAGAGGGAAGGAGCAGGGGGAAAAAAUCAAAAUGCCAUACGUUCAGCUCCAUAUGCUUUCUUAUUCAGACCUUAUUCAAAUGAAAUCAUUUUAAAAUAUUCACAGGGAACUACAAAGAUUAAAAAAAAAUACAUGGACAUGCUUGGCUGGUGUGGCUCAGUGAUUAAGCAUUGAUCCUUGAACCAGGGGGUUACGGUUCAAAUCCCUGUCAGGGCACAUGCCUAGGUUUCAGCCUCGAUCCCCAGCAGGUGUGAAGGAGGCAGCCCAUGGAUGAUUCUCUCUCAUCAUUGAUGCGUCUAUCCCUUUCUCCCUCUCUCUUUCUCUCUCUGAAAUCAAUAAAACAUAUUUUAAAAAAUCUAUACU